rnacentral:rRNA from 1 species
UACGUAGGGGGCAAGCGUUGUCCGGAAUUAUUGGGCGUAAAGCGCGCGCAGGCGGCUAGUUAAGUCAGAUGUGAAAGGCUGCGGCUCAACCGCAGAGCUGCAUCUGAAACUGAUUAGCUUGAGUGCAGGAGAGGAUAGUGGAAUUCCCGGUGUAGCGGUGGAAUGCGUAGAGAUCGGGAGGAACACCAGUGGCGAAGGCGCCUGUCUGGACUGUAACUGACGCUGAGGCGCGAAAGCGUGGGGAGCAAACAGG